AUUGAACGCUGGCGGCAUGCCUUACUCAUGCAAGUCGAACGGUAACAGGUCUUCGGAUGCUGACGAGUGGCGAACGGGUGAGUAAUACAUCGGAACGUGCCUAGUAGUGGGGGAUAGCUACUCGAAAGAGUGGCUAAUACCGCAUGAGAUCUACGGAUGAAAGCAGGGGAUCGCAAGACCUUGUGCUACUAGAGCGGCCGAUGGCAGAUUAGGUAGUUGGUGGGAUAAAAGCUUACCAAGCCGACGAUCUGUAGCUGAUCUGAGAGGACGAUCAGCCACACUGGGACUGAGACACGGCCGAGACUCCUACGGGAGGCAGCAGUGGGGAAUUUUGGACAAUGGGCGAAAGCCUGAUCCAGCAAUGCCGCGUGCAGGAUGAAGGCCUUCGGGUUGUAAACUGCUUUUGUACGGAACGAAAAGCCCCGGGUUAAUACCCUGGGGUCAUGACGGUACCGUAAGAAUAAGCACCGGCUAACUACGUGCCAGCCGCCGCCGUAA
rnacentral:rRNA from 1 species